UGAGUUCAGGAAGUAGCUGCUGUAAAAGGAGAUUUUCUGGUACCAGCUGAGGAGCAUUUGUGGAGGAAUCAUGGAAGGUGUUUUUGUGGGGUGGCAGUUGACUUAGGAAGGUCACAGGGAAGAGGAAAGAGUGGUUGCUAAUGUCUAAUUUAGAUUUUGGUCUUUUUAGAGAGAGGAGGUGUAUGGACUGAUUCAGAUUUCUUCUGAAGGCAAGCAGUGACGAGGAAGUCAGAAGUUAAGAUAGUGAUAUUCCCAGAUAUUCCUCAAACCAGGGUUCAGAGUCUCCUCCUGGUGGGGUCAUGGAUUUAUACCUAUCUGAUGGUUUUGGAUGUGACCAGCAGCUGCAGAUCUCAAGAAGAUAUGUGGUGCAUCUUUUGCAAAGAUCAGAUACCAGAAGAAGAAAAAGGAUCUUUGGGUUGUGCUUAUUCUGAGAUGAACUUUGCUUGAAACGAAAAAGGUGCCACCUCCCCAAAUGACCACCAGAGACCCCCAAAGGUGCAGUGACAAGUAUUACAUAAGACUGCAGAAGCUUAACAGUUAUGCAAUAGGUGAGUGGUAGUUGUAUUAGAUAGGCAGGUUUAUGUGCUUUCAGUGUAUAAAUUCACUUGCUGUUUAUUCCUUGGCAAGACUGAUUUAUGGAAAAUUUCCACCUUGCACCCUGUGCAGAAAAAAAAAAAAGUCUCCUUUCUAUAACUGACUCUGUUUGUAUAAAGAGAGUUUCAAAAUUGGUCAAUUUAUGAUGUACCCAUUGCAAACUUUUUGGACAAAAAUAUAUUCAAGUGAACUUGUGAAUUUCUAAGUUCUUAUUUCAAAUGCUAGAUGCUUUAGGGAUU
rnacentral:lncRNA from 1 species